rnacentral:snoRNA from 1 species
UUAAAAAAAAUAAGUUCAGGGCAGCUUCCCUGUUCUGUUCAUUAAACUUUGAGACAUUGAAACAGGCUAGUGAGGAUGACUAGACAGAAAACAUUGUUCUGUUCAGUUACUUCUCAGCCUACAGUA